CAUUGAUGUUUCUCUCCCUUUCUUUCUUCCUUGCCCUCUCUAAAAAUAAAUAAAUAAAAUCUUAAAAAUAAAAUAAAAUAAAAUAUGCACAUGACAUACAUUUUGGCUUCAGACAAAGAAGCAUGAAUUAACAUUAUUUAAUGACAUGCAACCAGUUUUAAAGAGCUCAAUUUCUUUUUGAUGGCAUGUGUGUACAAUCACUGUGUGGAUGUUUUUACAUUGCUUUAAACAUCACCAUUUUCUCUGAAUAUUCUGUGUAUCUAAGUAACCAUGAUUGUGGUUCAUUUCACUUAAUGGCCAUUCAUAUAAAAUUAAAGCUUUGAGAAUAUUAUUAUUUGCUUCAGCUAAUAUCAGUUAUAGUACUCUUGUAUAGGAUGGCUGAUAUUUUUCAAUAACAGAGAUUUUCUCAGUCUCUUGACUUUUUCAUUUUAUUAUGUUGUUCCUUUCACUGAAAAAAAAAAGCUCAUAAUAAGUUCAAGGUGAAGUUUUCCAGCUCAAAGCUCUAAGUCAGUUUUCAUGAAAACAAUUGGCAACAACCAUCUUUGACAUCAUCCCUUUGUUCAUUCAACUUUGCGUUCUGUUGUGUAAAUGACUAUACCUGUGUGUUUUUAAAAAUCGCUAUUUCUAAUGGGCACAUUAAAAAAUCCUUAGGUAGUCAAUGCUUUUCUGCAAAUAAAUGUAAAGUGGGUUAUUGUGCUUUAGAUUAAAGGCCAGUAAGGCAGACAAAAGGGACACCAUUGCAAAUUAAACCAUAAAGGUCUGAAGUAUUAUUAAGAGAUUCACAGAUACUAUGUUCCAAUCAGGCUCAAUAAGGACUGAAUUCCUAUUAUGUUUCUUAAGCCUCCAGAAAAGACAUGGGAAGGGACCCAAAGUUAAAGUCGUCAAAUAAAAAGCACUUAGGCCAAGAGCACAUGAAUGUAUGACUGGGUAAUGGGCCUUUCAUCUUUGAAAUAAAAACAGUUCAGUUCAAUUGGAACUGAAGGUUCCCCCUUUGAGAAAGUUUAUUUUAAUGAGUUUCCAUUUUAUGCGUGGGCUGCUCUUUAAUCCAGGCUGUUCCAUUGAAGUCUUACCCAAUGAAGACGCAAGACAGAUUGUCCAAGCUUGCGGCUAUUGUUAGGGGUUGAUGAAGUGUAUGGGCCCUUAUGGUUGAUAACAGAAGUAGAUGGUCAAAGCCAAUAAAUAAAACUUUAACUCUAAUUGUUGGGUGCCUUACGCUGAAAAGGUUCCAUUAGCAUGGAUCUCCGGUUUCGAACGACUUGUGAACCCAAAGGCAGCUUGUAGCUCUGUCACACAGACUGAGUCACUUGGGCAAGCAGCAAUGUCAACUCAGUUUGGCUUUUCAAAUUAUAGACUUCUUUUUAGAAAUAAACACUGUUAAUAUCUUGACAGACAAUUGACAAUAUAUGGAUCUGCUGCAUAUAGAUUUGUCACAAAAGUGGUUUAAGGAGUAGCUUGUGCAUUGUUUUGUGGGAUCUUAAUAAUGUAAACUUUAGAAUUAACCAUUUGGUAUAUAUUAAGUAGUUGUGAUUUGAAUAUGUGUGGGAAGAAGGAUAUUUUGUGAACAACGUUAGUCACAGUAUCAUCUCAUCAUUAUAAAUGUUGGUUACCCAUCCAAGUAACAUUCGUGUGCUCUCUCCAAAUUUGUACUCCUCUAAACCCACUUAAUCCAAUGUUGGGGGUGACAGAUAUAGUAGCUGUAUACUCACAGUUGUCUUAAAACCUACCAAACCCAUUUGUCAUAAGUUUAAGUUCCUUACAAAUAUGCCCGUGACCUCAAAAUUAAACAUCACUAACUUAGCACUUCAGAAGCCACUGAACCUCAUGACUAUUUAAAUCACAAUUUUUGUAGCACAAUAGAUGGAACCUUGGUGGCCUUAAAGGACUAACCCCAACAUCGUUGUCUUGAUACUGGAAUAUAAGUUAGGUCCUUGAGGGAAGUCUACCUCAUGUUUAACUUUCCUGUUACCCUGAGAAAAAUCCAUCCCUGAUAUAUUUGAGGCAGAAAUACGAAUGGCUGCCACUAGCCCAGCCAUUUGUUCAUGUGGCUCAAAUUUGACUAGUCUACAGGGGACCUUGCAUGCCUGGAAUGAACCACUCCUCCCCCAGGAAGCUUCAUCAAACUCUCCCACAUCCCAAACAACCCCCAUUGGAUGACUUCAGACCUGGAUGUGAGCAUAAUGCCCGCAUUAUGGAAAAACAGAGCAGGAUCCUAGAAUUAUGGCUGAAUAGGUUAUUCUCUCCUCUCCUCUAUUUUGUAUUAAAAUCUAUGUGAAUAAAGUGACUAACAAGAAUCAUAAUGAGAAAAGGAGGAAAUGAAAGAAGGUGGGUUAGGAAGCCUAAUGAGGGAAGGCAGAAUAAAAUGUUGUUUGAUAAUUUAUGUAAAUUAUCCAGUGGGUGUCCUUUUCUGUCCUUUUUCCCCUUUGAAAAAUACAACAUACAGUUUAUAAUCAUGUUCAAAGUUAGUGAUUUCCCAUCUCUUCUUUAAUAAGAUUAUUUAUAAUUAUUUUAUAGCCUCAGUAUAUUUCAGACUUUUAAAAUAAUUUUCCAGAUUUUUCUUUUUCAGAAAGGACAAUUUAAGUAUUAUAAUUCCCACUUUUUUUUCUUGGAAGAGUAGCAGAAAUCCCAAUUUCUACCAAAUUUCAAGGUAGACACAUUGGAAAGAAACAAAGGUGCUUCUAGAAUCCUAGCCUGUAAUUCAUUGGUUGGAGGCCUUGGGGGCCAUCAGGGUCUCUGGUCUUCUACUGAAGCUCCCUAUUCCCUCCUCCCUAGGCUUGUUGUUUUAAUUGUUGGAAUUCCCAAACAAGGAGUGUGGGCAGCUUUAUUCAUGCAUAAGGAGAAAGGAUUCUAUGCCUUUCUACAGGACAUCGCUUCUCUGUAUCAUUAGAUCACAUGUAUGUUUAAGAUAUGAUUAAGUAUUGAGUUUAUCCUGUUGGCUUUUUCUAACCUUUAAAAAAAUCUCAUCAUUAUUGUAUGCAGCUAUACGUCCUUGGAGUAAGUAGGGUGAUGGGGACAUCAGUCUUCAUACAGUGUGUGACACAGAACCAGAAAUGGGGUGCUGUCAUGUCCAGAUCUGUCUAUCACUGAGGAAUGGCCAUAGACUUCCUGAUCAGUUCUGACAAGUCACUGACAGUUUGCAGGGGAAGCACAUAUGUGACAAAGGGCAAGCAGAGGUUACAUGUGUCAGCAAGAACCCUCUGAUUCUGGCUACAAGGAGUCAAGUUACUGGCAACUCUGGUAUUUGGAUGCUCUUGGUUUUCUUUUUAAAUGUGGCUUCAGAAAAUCACAGGUGCUCCUUCUUCCAGAUACAGUUUUCUGCUGGUUUAGUCAGUGGCUAAAUGGCAGGUCACACUGGUUUGAAUGCUAAUAUGUUCUUGGUCUUUCUGCCACUUUGUUUAUGAAUUUACACACAUUUUAUUAACAUAAUUGUGGAUUCUGGGUGGUGAGGGGUAAAUUGAUAUUACAUAAAGAACCACAAUGAAACAACUGAAUUGUUUUCAUAUCAUGUUUAGCAUAAAAAUCAUCACCUCUGGCUCCACUUUGAGUCUUAAAGUGUUAAUGUCUGUACUUUACACAGAUGAGACAGAGGCUGUGUAGCUUAGUGGUUAAGAGCUUGAAUGCUGAAGUCAGAUCUCAUGGAUUUGAGUUCAGGAUCCAGUUAAGAUUGGGUUGUGUUGAGCACUCUACUUAGUAUUUCUGGGAGUCAGUGUCCUUAUCUGUAAAGUGGGAAUGACGAGAACUCCUGCCUCCUCAUCUCGUGCGGAGGUUACUACCUGCUAAGUGUUUAGAGCAGGUCUGGUAUGUGAUAAGUGCUAUAUAAGUGUUUGCAGUUAUCACUAAAUUGUGUUGCUGAAUUUUUAUAUAGCUGAUAUGCAAUUUUUAUGAAAUAGCAUACUAUAAAAAGGAUCCAUGACUUUAUAAUUUGAUAAACUUUGGUAAAAUUUGGGCCAUUAUUCCUUGAAAAUGUUUUUGCCUCCCCCUUUCCCAUUUCUCAUUCUGGAAUUCCAAUUACUUGUAUGGAUCAGACUGCUUUAUAUUGGCCCACAGGUCAUUACAUCUCUUUUAUUUAUUUUUUAAUCCUUUAUCUGUUUUUUUUUCUUCCUUUUGGAUAGUUUCUACUUCUAUUUCUCCAAUUUGACUGAUCUUUUCUUAUAUAGUAUCUAAUCUAAUCUGCUGUUGAUCUCAUCCAGUGUAGUUUUAUUUGAUAUUUUAUUUUCCAUCUCUAAAAUUCCUAUUUUUGUAUUUCCUAUUUUUAAAUUUAUGUUUUCUUGAACAAAUGAAGCAUGUUUUUAUUUACCACUUUAUCAUCCUUAUCUGCUAAUGUUCUCUCUCUUUCUCAUUUUUGGAGGCCUAUUUUAUUGAUUGUUUUUCUAUAUUUUCCCACUUCUUUGCAUGCCUGAUAGCUUUUAUUGCAUGCUGGACAUUGAGGAUUUUAUUUGUGCAUGCUGAACUUUUUAUUUCUUUUAAUAGCGUCAGGCUUUGUUCUGGAUACAAUUAAGCUUCUCGGUAUCAAUAUGAUUACUUGGAAACUUGCUUUUAAUUUGUAACGUUGGGUCCUCAAACAUAUCAUUUCACAAAUCUCAUACAAUAUACUGAUAAUUUUUUGAUGGUACUAUGUAUUAAUUAAUUAAUUCACUAAUUAGCUUUCUAUCCAUUCAUUCAACUAAUGUUUUAUUGAAUUUAUCUGAUAUGGUAAAGAUGAAAAAGAAUCCUCAUGGAACUUAUAGUUAGGAGAGAAGACCAAUAUAGACAUAAAAUAUUUUCAGGCAGUGAAAUGCACUGAUAAUAUAAUAUGCAAACUACUGUAGAAUCUGCUGGUAUUUACUUUCUCAUGUGUAUACAAUGAAUCGUCAACCAAAGUGUACUCUCUUGUAAUUAAAUGUCUUUUCUCUCAUUAUUCUCUCUUGGCCUCACAAAGUUUUUAAUUUUUUUAUUAUUGUAAUUUCAUAAGGAGGAAAAUAUAUCUACUUUUAUAAAAAUUCAAGCAUUUAUUCCACAAAUACAUCUUGGCUGGCUAUAAUGUGCCAGUUCAUAGCUGGAGCCACAACAAUGAGCAAAACAAAGUCCUUUCAAAAUGCAAAUUCAAAAGGCACAAUCAAGUGGCUUUAAUAUAUACCAUAUUACAAAAUUAUGACUCUAUAUUUAUGUUCCUCCUUUUAAGUGACAUGAUGAUUCUAGCAUUGAGUUAAUGGCAGAAAACUUGCCCUUGGGCAGACCAGCUUGUUUCCUGUUCUGAGCUCCAGAUUAUAAGUACUACUGAAAAAAGCUAGUUCCAGAGCGGUGUUUUAAAAAAGGAUUGCUGAUGUAUUCAUAUUUUUGUCUGUGAGAGUGCUAUUUUUGUAGAAACAAAUUGGAUUCCUUUAUUUUUAGAGUUUUAGGAUAUGAAUUUCAAGAAGAUUCUUAAUUGCAAAAGAAAAGUCGGGCUAAGAGCAACUACUACAAAUGCUACUACUACUGCUCCUGCUGCUGGUUAUGAUUUCCUGAAUUGCCGACAUCUGCCCAUGCUCUGUGAAGUUCUUUACUUAAUCUCUUUUCAUCCUCAAAAGAAUCCUAUGAGCUGUAGGGUAAUAAUAAGUAUGGGAGAAAAAAGUGAGGGUGUCCAUAAAAACAUUUUUUAAGUAUUUCUGAAAAUGAGACAUAGUCACCAAGACAAAAAUAAUUUUAAAUCUGCAUUAUCAAAAGGACUAUAAUAAGACUAUUAGUACAUGCUACAUUGCACAUUGUAAAUUGCAAUUAGCAUUGUUGAUUUGAUGACUGGGUAGAUGGCUUUCUGAGCAAGCCUUAUUUGGAAGAUUCAAAUGAAAUUCUACAUUCUUUUCUUGGCAUAUUGCAAGAAUAUUUGGAAUUUAAAAUACCCCUCCCAAUAGUGCCUUCUUAGUAUCUCUGCCUUACUGAACAGCAAAUGCCCCACUCAGUUAGCUUUCCAAAGAACUAACUGACAGUUGAGAAUGCACAUUCUGUCCUCUGUCAAUAGACAUGCAUGUGAGGAUCCUUUGGCUUCCUUCUGUAUGACGGGGGCUCCUUUCUAAGAGUGACAGAUGACAAUAUCAACACUGGGCAGCAGCCAGUCUUUCAUGACCCCUCACCCUCUCUUAGUGCCACCAUGCAUCCCUUACAGGGAGCGGAGGUGAUGGGCUGCCCUGCAUUGACUGGUGCCAGAAUGGUGGGGCCACUGAUCUGGACACUGGUAGGUUUACUGUGCAGCUGUGAAGUCAUUUGCACUCAGCUGUGAAGUGUGUAAAGAUAGAGAGUUAGUAUGCAGUGGUUCUGCUGUUCAAGAAGUUGUAGCAGAUCUCUCUACAUCUUUCAUACAUAUACAUUAUGUACAUUUACAUAAGUAUAUAAUAAAUUAAUAUACAUGAAAUCAUAUAUUACUUAUAUUUUACAAAGGUCUCCCUCCCCUCACUGCCCAGCAUAUACCCAUGUACAUCUCUCUAUUUCCAGAUAUUCUUUUGUAGUGAAUUAUAAAAAUGGCCUCAUCUCAUUUUUUGUAUGUAUUGAUCAAUAAACCUUUUUCAGAACUCUUGAGUGAAUGAUUGGUGAGACUACAGAGAAUUUUACUUUGACUUUGGAUUUUAAAUCUUUAGCAAAACAAGUUAUAGUCCAAGAAAUUUUUUUAAAAAAUGAGUUAACAAAUGUUAAUGUUUUUGUGAUAUGGUAUACUAGCAUGACUUGGCAAUAAGUGGCUACCCAAGAGAGCCCUGCCAUUUUAGUCACUGCGGAGACUUUUUAUUUAAAGUGACAGUGAACUUCAAACCCAGUGAUUGACUUCGUGUUGUAAGUCACCUUUGCAGUAGACUCUGCUGAAUUUUUAAACAGCUGUAAUCUGAUCGAAUUUGUGAAGUCUCUGUUCAUUCAAAACAGAGGAAGAG